rnacentral:rRNA from 1 species
UACGUAGGGCGCAAGCGUUGUCCGGAAUUAUUGGGCGUAAAGAGCUCGUAGGGGGCUUGUCACGUCGGGUGUGAAAGCUUGGGGCUUAACUACAGGUCUGCAUUCGAUACGGGCUGGCUAGAGGUAGGUAGGGGAGAACGGAAUUCCUGGUGUAGCGGUGAAAUGCGCAGAUAUCAGGAGGAACACCGGUGGCGAAGGCGGUUCUCUGGGCCUUACCUGACGCUGAGGAGCGAAAGCGUGGGGAGCGAACAGG